GCGCCAGUAGCUCAGUGAUAGAGCGUCCUCGAUUCCACUUUCAAUAAAAUCCAAAAACAAAUAAAGAAGGAAGACGUAGGUUCGAAUCCUACCUGGUGCA